rnacentral:lncRNA from 1 species
AUGACCACUGGAAUCCCCUGUCAUGGACGUCAUGGUUUCAUCUGCCUUUCAAACCUUUCCUACCACCUCACACCCACAAACUCCUUCUGCCUCUACUUUCUGCACGUCGAAAGCCUUCAUCACAAUGCAAGUGAAAAGUGGCCUGGAGCUUGCUGCUCCGUCUUGUGCAGUUCACCCACGUCCCUGAGCACUGACUCGGGGGCAGCUCUGCAGAGUGCGGACUGUCCCACCGAGUGGCCUUGAACACGUUCCUGAUAACACCUACCACAGCCAUGGGAGUUCUGAGAAUUCUACCUAGCAUCAGGAAGAGGAGGCGUUUGGUGCAGGAAGUCAGACAAAGCCUUGAAUGUAGCACAACUAUAUAAGAAGCUGACCUGAUAAAUAGGAAACACGCAACCUUGGUUUAUUUUUUCUUGCCAGGCUGAAAUUUGCUUUAGGGAAAAAUGAACACAUUGUGCCAUGGCUGUAAGCCUGGAGUCGGGGCUGGUGCGCAGAUGUCAGGCCCUGACUCCAGGCUGUGGGUGGGUGAGUGGCUGACAGUUAUGUAUUAACUUCAGGUAAUUAUUUGAUUAAUUAUUAAUAUUAAUUAUUAAUUAAUAAUAUUAAUUAUUUGAUUAACUUCAAAUUUCUACUCUGUUUUUCCUAUGGAGACACAGACUUCUUGCUUUAUUUGUGUGUUUGUUUUGGUCUGCUUCACAUAUGUAGAGAAAUGACCAAUAACUUAAAGUUUUCAAUGGAUGAAGAAAUAUCUAUCGAAUGC